CUCGUAGGCGGAUCCGCCAGUCUGACGUGAAAUCUCCACCGCUCACCGGGGAGGGGCCGUUGGAUACUACGGAUCUGGAGUUCGGCAGAGGACCAUGGAAUUUCGGGUGUAGCGGUGGAAUGCGUAGAUAUCCGAAAGAACACCGGUGGCGAAGGCGGUGGUCUGGGCCUGAACUGACGCUGAGGAGCGAAAGCCAGGGGAGCAAACG
rnacentral:rRNA from 1 species